AGGGAAUAUUGCGCAAUGGACGGAAGUCUGACGCAGCGACGCCGCGUGAGCGAUGAAGGCCUUCGGGUUGUAAAGCUCUGUCCUUGGGGAAGAAGGUCUUCGGACUUGACGGUACCCAAGAAGAAAGCCCCGGCUAACUACGUGCCAGCAGCCGCGGUAAUACGUAGGGGGCGAGCGUUGUCCGGAAUUACUGGGCGUAAAGGGUGCGUAGGCGGCCCUUUAAGUCAGAUGUGAAAGCCCGCAGCUUAACUGCGGAAUUGCAUUUGAAACUGGAGGGCUUGAGUGUCGGAGAGGGUAGUGGAAUUCCCAGUGUAGCGGUGAAAUGCGUAGAUAUCGGGAGGAACACCAGUGGCGAAGGCGACUGCCUGGACGAUAACUGACGCUGAGGCACGAAAGCUAGGGGAGCAAAC
rnacentral:rRNA from 1 species